UUGGUGCAUGGCCGUUCUUAGUUGGUGGAGCGAUUUGUCUGGUUAAUUCCGAUAACGAACGAGACUCUAGCCUGCUAACUAGGCGUAUUUUCGACAUCUUAAAGGCCCGCCGGCCCGCUGCUUAUGCGGCGUGGUCGCGCGCGGUUUUUACUGUCGGCGUACAAUCAAUUCUUCUUAGAGGGACAGGCGGCUUCUAGCCGCACGAGAUUGAGCAAUAACAGGUCUGUGAUGCCCUUAGAUGGUCAU
rnacentral:rRNA from 1 species